ensembl:lncRNA
GGCCGGGCGGGGCUGUGGGGGGGGGGCGACGCAGCUGUUAGCUCCGCCUCCUCGCUGCGCCCCUAGGCUUCAGACCCCCGCACCUUGGAGCUGCAGCUCCCGCCUUUUCUUCCUCACUUAGCGGCGGAGCAAGCUUUCCAGACUCGUCAGUGGCUUUUUUGGGGGAUAAAGACACAAAUCCUCGCUGGGCCCCGAAGCCCUGGGGACCCGAGCCCUGCGGCCUCCCGGCCUCCCCCCUCCUCUUCCCCGCCCGCCCCUCCGCCCCAGCCAUCCUGGCCUUCUGCCGCACCCUACCUUGCCCCGGGCUUUGGCCCAGCCUGCGCCCCGGGCCUAGCCAGUCCUGCUCCCCGGGCCUAGCCACUCCUACCCCCCCGCUCCCCCUCCGCCUUCUCCAGCCCCAGUCUCUCCUCUGCUGCAGCUGCCCUCCCCAGCUCCGCGCACCCGGGCCAAUUCCCAGAUCAAGGCCCGGGGGAAAUUUGGCUCUCGCCGCCGCCUCCGGGGUCCACAGCCCCACCCCCCGUCAUGUGAUCAAGAACAGGCCUUGCUUCCCCGGACUCCAGUGGCUCAGCUCUGACCCCACCACUGCCCUGAGGAACCCCAGAUGCGGAGCCUUGAGUUCAAACCCAGCCCUCUAACGGACACAUCUGUGGCCGCCCUGGGAGAUCAGCCCAUUCGUGUGCUUGCAAAACAGCCCAGCCUGCUUUGGGAGAACGCUGCUGAUUUGCCAGCAUGAGCUGGGGCUGCUUGGUGGACGUUGAACCUCCCCUGCCCUCCCUGCAAGAUAGAGUCCAAUGGCAACCCAUUCCAGUAUUCUUGCCUAGAGAAUCCCCUGGACAGAGGAGCCUGGUGGGCUGCUGUCCUUGGGGUUGCAAAGAGUCGGACACGACUGAAGCAACCUAGCACACAUGCAGCAUUGGAGAAGGAAAUGGCAACCCACUCCAGUGUUCUUGCCUGGAGAAUCCCGUGGACAGAGGAGCCUGGUGGGCUGCCGUCUAUGGGGUUGCACAGAAUCAGACACGACUGAAGCGACUUAGCAGCAGCAGCAGAUAGAAUCCAAUGACUGCCCGCUGCUGAAAGAUGAGGACCUGUUUCUGUUAGACCUGACACCCCCACACUUGCUCCCCUGCUCUGUCCUCCCAGGGCGAUCACAGCCCUUUAGGUCUCUCUCACUUGUGACAG